rnacentral:rRNA from 1 species
AGUGAACGCUGGCGGUAGGCCUAACACAUGCAAGUCGAACGGCAGCACAGUAAGAGCUUGCUCUUACGGGUGGCGAGUGGCGGACGAGUGAGGAAUACAUCGGAAUCUACUUUUUCGUGGGGGAUAACGUAGGGAAACUUACGCUAAUACCGCAUACGACCUACGGGUGAAAGCAGGGGAUCUUCGGACCUUGCGCGAUUGAAUGAGCCGAUGUCGGAUUAGCUAGUUGGCGGGGUAAAGGCCCACCAAGGCGACGAUCCGUAGCUGGUCUGAGAGGAUGAUCAGCCACACUGGAACUGGGACACGGUCCAGACUCCUACGGGAGGCAGCAGUGGGGAAUAUUGGACAAUGGGCGCAAGCCUGAUCCAGCCAUACCGCGUGGGUGAAGAAGGCCUUCGGGUUGUAAAGCCCUUUUGUUGGGAAAGAAAAGCAGCAGGUUAAUACCCCGCUGUUCUGACGGUACCCAAAGAAUAAGCACCGGCUAACUUCGUG